AGCAGCCGCGGUAAUUCCAGCUCCAAUAGCGUAUAUUAAAGUUGUUGCAGUUAAAAGCUCGUAGUUGAAUUUCGGAAUCAAUUUAUUGGUCGUGCAAUAGUACGUACUGGUUUUAUUGGUUCCUCCCUUCUGAUGAACCAUGAUGUCAUUAAUUUGGUGUUAUGGGGAAUCAGGACUGUUACUUUGAAAAACUGAGUGUUUAAAGCAGGCUCACGCUUGAAUACAUUAGCAUGGAAUAAUGAAAUAGGACGUUUGAUUCUAUUUUGUUGGUUUCUAGGAUCGACGUAAUGAUUAAUAGGGAUAGUUGGGGGCAUCAGUAUUCAAUUGUCAGAGGUGAAAUUCUUGGAUUUAUUGAAGACUAACUACUGCGAAAGCAUUUGCCAAGGAUGUUUUCAUUAAUCAAGAACGAAAGUUAGGGAUC
rnacentral:rRNA from 1 species